UUCCAGACUCCUACGGGAGGCAGCAGUGAGGAAUAUUGGUCAAUGGGCUUACGCCUGAACCAGCCAAGUCGCGUGAGGGAAGACUGCCCUAUGGGUUGUAAACCUCUUUUGUCAGGGAGCAACGCCGGCUACGUGUAGCCGGACUGAGAGUACCUGAAGAAAAAGCAUCGGCUAACUCCGUGCCAGCAGCCGCGGUAAUACGUAGGGGGCAAGCGUUAUCCGGAUUUACUGGGUGUAAAGGGGGCGCAGACGGCGAUGCAAGCCAGGAGUGAAAGCCCGGGGCCCAACCCCGGGACUGCUCUUGGAACUGCGUGGCUGGAGUGCAGGAGGGGCAGGCGGAAUUCCUGGUGUAGCGGUGAAAUGCGUAGAUAUCAGGAGGAACACCGGUGGCGAAGGCGGCCUGCUGGACUGCAACUGACGUUGAGGCCCGAAAGCGUGGGGAGCAAACAGGAUUAGAUACCCUAGUA
rnacentral:rRNA from 1 species